rnacentral:rRNA from 1 species
AUUGAACGCUGGCGGCAGGCCUAACACAUGCAAGUCGAGCGAGCCGCGGGCGGGUGAGUUAUGUAUGGGACUCUGCGUGGUGGAGGGGGAUAACUACUGGAAACUGUAGCUUAUCCCGCAUACCAUCAGAUGCACCCAUAUGGUUAUAGCUUGUGGGUGGGGUAACGGCUCACCUAGGCCACGAUCCCUAGCUGGUCUGAGAGGAUGAUCGGCCACACUGGAACUGUGACACGGGCCAGACUCCUACGGGAGGCAGCAGUGGGGAAUAUUGCACAAUGGGCGCAAGCCGGAUGCAGCCAUGCCGCGUGUAUGAAGAAGGCCUUCGGGUUGUAAAGUACUUUCAGUCGGGAGGCGUUACCGACAGAAGAAGCACCGGCUAACUCCGUGCCAGCAGCCGCGGUAAUAC